rnacentral:rRNA from 1 species
GACGAACGCUGGCGGCGUGCCUAACACAUGCAAGUCGAACGGAAAGGCCCUGCUCUUGUGGGGUGCUCGAGUGGCGAACGGGUGAGUAACACGUGAGUAACCUGCCCUUGACUUUGGGAUAACUUCAGGAAACUGGGGCUAAUACCGGAUAGGAGCUCCUGCUGCAUGGUGGGGGUUGGAAAGUUUCGGCGGUUGGGGAUGGACUCGCGGCUUAUCAGCUUGUUGGUGGGGUAGUGGCUUACCAAGGCUUUGACGGGUAGCCGGCCUGAGAGGGUGACCGGCCACAUUGGGACUAAGAUACGGACCAGACUCCUACGGGAGGCAGCAGUGGGGAAUAUUGCACAAUGGGCGGAAGCCUGAUGCAGCAACGCCGCGUGCGGGAUGACGGCCUUCGGGUUGUAAACCGCUUUCGCCUGUGACGAAGCGUGAGUGACGGUAAUGAGUAAAGAAGCACCGGCUAACUACGUG